GAAACGCAUUCUCCUGACAAGUACAGCUCAUUAUUCAUCAAUGGAGUUCCUUCGCCCCGAACUACAUUGAUGAAUAAUGAGCUGUACUUGUCAGGAGAAUGCGUUU
rnacentral:pre_miRNA from 1 species